CGUGUAGGCGGUCUUGCAAGUCGGAAGUGAAAUUCCCGGGCUUAAACCCGGGCGCUGCUCCCGAAACUGCGAGACUUGAGUACUGGAGAGGAUAGUGGAAUUCCUAGUGUAGCGGUAAAAUGCGUAGAUAUUAGGAGGAACACCAGUGGCGAAGGCGGCUAUCUGGACAGUAACUGACGCUGAGGCGCGAAAGCGUGGGGAGCAAACA
rnacentral:rRNA from 1 species